UACAGAGGGGGCUAGCGUUGUUCGGAAUUACUGGGCGUAAAGGGCGCGUAGGUGGCCUGUUAAGUCGAACGUGAAAUCCCCGGGCUCAACCCGGGAACUGCGUCCGAGACUGGCAGGCUCGAAUCCGGGAGAGGGAUGUGGAAUUCCAGGUGUAGCGGUGAAAUGCGUAGAUAUCUGGAGGAACACCGGUGGCGAAGGCGGCAUCCUGGACCAACACUGACGCUGAGUGAGCGAAAGCCAGGGGAGCAAACGGG
rnacentral:rRNA from 1 species